rnacentral:rRNA from 1 species
UGGGGAAUAUUGCACAAUGGGCGAAAGCCUGAUGCAGCGACGCCGCGUGGGGGAUGACGGCCUUCGGGUUGUAAACCUCUUUCAGCAAGGAAGAAGCGAAAGUGACGGUACUUGCAGAAGAAGCGCCGGCUAACUACGUGCCAGCAGCCGCGGUAAUACGUAGGGCGCAAGCGUUGUCCGGAAUUAUUGGGCGUAAAGAGCUUGUAGGUGGCUUGUCGCGUCUGCCGUGAAAACCCGAGGCUUAACCUUGGGCGUGCGGUGGGUACGGGCAGGCUAGAGUGCGGUAGGGGAGACUGGAAUUCCUGGUGUAGCGGUGAAAUGCGCAGAUAUCAGGAGGAACACCGAUGGCGAAGGCAGGUCUCUGGGCCGUUACUGACACUGAGAAGCGAAAGCAUGGGGAGCGAACAGG